GUUGAAACACCGGUUCUUGUAUGAACACCGAAGUUAAGCAAAAUCGAGCCUAGCCAGUACCCACAUGGGUGACCGUUUGAUAGUAACAGGUGCAGUAA